ACGCACGCUGGCGGCGUGCUUAACACCUGCAAGUCGAGCGGUAAGGCUCCUUCGGGAGUACACGAGCGGCGAACGGGUGAGUAACACGUGAGUAAUCUGCCCUUCACUUCGGGAUAACCACCGGAAACGGUGGCUAAUACCGAAUACGACCAGUCUUCGCAUGAGGUGCUGGUGGAAAGUCUUUUCGGUGAAGGAUGUGCUCGCGGCCUAUCAGCUUGUUGGUGGGGUAAUGGCCUACCAAGGCUUCGACGGGUAGCCGGCCUGAGAGGGUGACCGGCCACACUGGGACUGAGACACGGCCCAGACUCCUACGGGAGGCAGCAGUGGGGAAUAUUGGACAAUGGGCGAAAGCCUGAUCCAGCAACGCCGCGUGAGGGAUGACGGCCUUCGGGUUGUAAACCUCUUUCAGUACCGACGAAGCGCCCUGUCGGGUGGUGACGGUAGGUACAGAAGAAGGACCGGCCAACUACGUG
rnacentral:rRNA from 1 species